rnacentral:rRNA from 1 species
CCUACGGGGUGCAGCAGUGAGGAAUAUUGGACAAUGGACGAAAGUCUGAUCCAGCCAAGCCGCGUGAAUGACGAAGGUGCCAAGCAUUGUAAAUUUUUUUUGUCAAGGGACAAAAUCAGGCUCGAGAGCCUUACCGAGGGUACUUGAAGAAAAAGCAUCGUCUAACUCCAUGCCAUCAGCCGCGGUAAUACGGGGGAUGCGAUUGUUAUCCGGAUUUAUUGUGUUUAACGGGUGCGUCGGGGGAGUGUUAAGUCAGCGGUAAAAGCCCGGGGCUAACCCCGGGCGAGCCGUUGAGACUGGCUGUCUGGAGAUGUCGAGAGGUAGGCGGAAUGCGCAGUGUAGCGGUGAAAUGCUUAGAUAUUGCGCAGAACUCCGAUUGCGAAGGCAGCAUACCGGCGGCGAUCUGACGCUGAGGCACGAAAGCGUGGGUAUCGAACAGGAUUAGAUACCCUUGUAGUC